rnacentral:rRNA from 1 species
GCUUAGCCCUAAACUUAGAUUUUUUUCCGCACAAAAAUAUCCGCCAGAGAACUACGAGCAUAAACGCUUAAAACUCUAAGGACUUGGCGGUACCUCAAACCCUCCUAGAGGAGCCUGUUCUAUAAUCGAUAAUCCACGAUCUACCUCACCAUCCCUUGCCAAUUCCGCCUAUAUACCACCGUCACCAGCUUACCCCAUGAGAGCACAAAAGUAAGCAAAAUAACCUAAACAGUUAAUAAGUCAGGUCAAGGUGUAGCUAAUUGAGAUGGAAGAAAUGGGCUACAUUUUCUAUCUUAGAAUUAAUCACGGAAGAAUAUCAUGAAAUAGAUUCCACAAGCAGGAUUUAGCAGUAAACUGGGAGCAGAGAGCCCAAUUUAAGCCGGUCCUGAGGUACGC